rnacentral:pre_miRNA from 1 species
CUGUGCUGCAGGCUCAGGAGGCAGAGCUCUGGGUGUCUCACCAUGGCCUGGACCACACUCCUGCUCCCGCUCCUCACCCUCUACACAGGUGC